rnacentral:rRNA from 1 species
UACGGGGGGGAGCAAGCGUUGUUCGGAUUUACUGGGCGUAAAGGGCGCGUAGGCGGUCAGCACAAGUCAGUUGUGAAAUCUCCGGGCUUAACCCGGAAAGGUCAACUGAUACUGUGCGACUAGAGUGCGGAAGGGGCAACUGGAAUUCUCGGUGUAGCGGUGAAAUGCGUAGAUAUCGAGAGGAACACCUGCGGCGAAGGCGGGUUGCUGGGCCGACACUGACGCUGAUGCGCGAAAGCGUGGGGAGCAAACAGG